rnacentral:lncRNA from 1 species
AAAGAAAACAAUUCAGACCCAACCGGAGCCUCCGUGUCGAACCCCACCUGCCAUCGGCUCAAACGCGCCGCCUUCGCGUCCAAUGCGAACUCAGAUACCGCUCAAACAGCACAGCACGAUAGGCGACGCCGGACGCAACUUCCUCUUCUUUUCUUCGCGUCGCCCUCCAACCCCACCCACCGCCGCCGCCACCACAAACCCGCACGAUCCCUCUCCGCGUCCUUGGUCGCCGACUUCCGAUAAGCUUCCUCGCCACGCACGCGCGAGCUAGCGCAGAGCUCCAGCAUAUUAUCCCCAAUUUCGGAAGAGGUCCGAUCCCCNNN